CCAGAAAAAUAAGAGUCUGAUUCCUUCAGCAUCUUCUAAGAGGAACGGUUGCAAGGCAGAGAAGAGCAGAUGGACCUACCAGAGAUAAAUCUUCUGCUGUGAUAGACAAAAGAACAGAAAGAGUCUUUGGGAUCAGAUGAUUAGUAGGAUCCAGAGUGUAUCAGGUGUUGCCUGAAGAGAAGCAGCAGCAGCAGGAGAAAAAGGAACCAGAGCAGAUAGUCUACAGGCAUCUACAUAUGUCACCAGGUGUUUAUAUAGCUACUGAACAUGGGUAAUGUGUAGAGAGUGCACGUGCACUCCCUAAGCGUGAUGGUCACCGCUCGCCAACUCCCCUCACCACCAACAACACUACAGCUGCCUGCAACAGCUCCCCACUUGCC